ACGGGAGGCAGCAGUGGGGAAUAUUGCACAAUGGGGGAAACCCUGAUGCAGCGACGCCGCGUGAGUGAAGAAGUAUUUCGGUAUGUAAAGCUCUAUCAGCAGGGAAGAUAAUGACGGUACCUGACUAAGAAGCACCGGCUAAAUACGUGCCAGCAGCCGCGGUAAUACGUAUGGUGCAAGCGUUAUCCGGAUUUACUGGGUGUAAAGGGAGCGUAGACGGCAUGGCAAGUCUGAAGUGAAAGCCUGGGGCUCAACCCCGGAACUGCUUUGGAAACUGUUAGGCUAGAGUACCGGAGAGGUAAGCGGAAUUCCUAGUGUAGCGGUGAAAUGCGUAGAUAUUAGGAGGAACACCAGUGGCGAAGGCGGCUUACUGGACGGUAACUGACGCUGAGGCUCGAAAGCGUGGGGAGCAAACAGGAUUAGAUACCCUGGUA
rnacentral:rRNA from 1 species